rnacentral:ncRNA from 1 species
AUGAAUUUCAGUGCCAGACAGGAAUGUCAGGGUAAAAGAGAAUCAGGUGAAAGUCCUGAGCGAUCCGGUCACUGUAAACAUGGAGUGAUGCCGCGGGUAUGCCAUUGCGCGUAAAGCGUGAGAAGGUGUGGCAGAGCGAUGAUAUGUAAGCCAGGAAACCUGCUGAAAGUCAAU